GUGAACGGAGGUGGGAGCCCUCGCGGGCGCACCAUCGACCGAUCCUGAUGUCUUCGGAUGGAUUUGAGUAAGAGCACAGCUGAUCUGACCCGAAAAAUGGUGAACUAUGCCUGAAUAGGGUGAAGCCAGAGGAAACUCUGGUGGAGGCUCGCAGCGGUUCUGACGUGCAAAUCGAUCGU
rnacentral:rRNA from 1 species